rnacentral:tRNA from 1 species
UGGCUCAGUAGGUAGAGCAUGGUGUUUGCAACGCCAGGGUUGUGGGUUUGAGUCCCAC